CCUACGGGAGGCAGCAGUCGAGAAUCAUUCACAAUGGGGGAAACCCUGAUGAUGCGACGCCGCGUGAGGGAUGAAGGUCUUCGGAUCGUAAACCUCUGUCAGCAGGGAAGAACGGUCACUGUGCUAAUCAGCAGUGAAUUGACGGUACCUGCAAAGGAAGCACCGGCUAACUCCGUGCCAGCAGCCGCGGUAAUACGGAGGGUGCGAGCGUUAGUCGGAAUUACUGGGCGUAAAGCGCUCGUAGGCGGUAUGUCAAGUCAAGGGGGAAAUCCCCGCGCUCAACGUGGGAACUGCCUGUGAAACUGGCAAACUGGAGUGUGUGAGAGGAUAGUGGAAUUCCAGGUGUAGGAGUGAAAUCCGUAGAUAUCUGGAGGAACAUCAGUGGCGAAGGCGACUAUCUGGCACAUAACUGACGCUGAGGAGCGAAAGCGUGGGUAGCAAACAGGACUAGAUACCCCUGUAGUC
rnacentral:rRNA from 1 species